GAUGAACGCUGGCGGCGUGCCUAAUACAUGCAAGUCGAGCGAACAGACGAGGAGCUUGCUCCUCUGACGUUAGCGGCGGACGGGUGAGUAACACGUGGAUAACCUACCUAUAAGACUGGGAUAACUUCGGGAAACCGGAGCUAAUACCGGAUAAUAUAUUGAACCGCAUGGUUCAAUAGUGAAAGACGGUUUUGCUGUCACUUAUAGAUGUAUCCUGGCCGCAUUAGCUAGUUGGUAAGGUAACGGCUUACCAAGGCAACGAUGCGUAGCCGACCUGAGAGGGUGAUCGGCCACACUGGAACUGAGACACGGUCCAGACUCCUACGGGAGGCAGCAGUAGGGAAUCUUCCGCAAUGGGCGAAAGCCUGACGGAGCAACGCCGCGUGAGUGAUGAAGGUCUUCGGAUCGUAAAACUCUGUUAUUAGGGAAGAACAAAUGUGUAAGUAACUAUGCACGUCUUGACGGUACCUAAUCAGAAAGCCCCGGCUAACUACGUG
rnacentral:rRNA from 1 species